UGCAGUGUAUUGUAAUAAUAGAUCAACUUCGACUAAAAAGUUUCCUGGCUUAUCGCCAAGAAAAUUUUGAAUUUUCCAAAAGACAUCAAUCCAAGGAUGUUGUGGAUCAAUGUCAUCAUACGUGCGAAUUGGACUCCUACUAAAGACUCAAGAGUUUGCCAAGCUCACUUUGAAGAGUCAAUAUUUCUACGGAAGUCUCCAGAAGGACGGUGGCAUUUGAUACAUAUUACAAUUCCUACUUUACUUGAACAUUCUAAGAUAAUAAAGAACGAAAGCUCC
rnacentral:lncRNA from 1 species